rnacentral:rRNA from 1 species
GGGGAGGCAGCAGUGAGGACUAUUUGGCAAUGGGCGAAAGCUUGACCAAGCAAUACCGCGUGAAGGAUGACGGCCUUAGGGUUGUAAACUUCUUUUCUGAUUGAUGAAGUUCUGACAGUAUUUCAGGAAUAAGCAUCGGCUAACUUCGUGCCAGCAGCCGCGGUAAUACGGGGGAUGCAAGCGUUAUCCGGAUUUAUUGGGCGUAAAGCGUUCGUAGAUGGUUUUCUAAGUUUAAUGUUAAAUUACAAGGCUUAACCUUGGAACUGCAUUAAAAACUGGACGACUCUAGUACAAUAGGGGUAAAGGGAAUUUCCAGUGUAGCGGUGAAAUGCGUAGAUAUUGGAAAGAACGCCUAUAGCGAAAGCACUUUACUGGGUUGUUACUGAAAUUGAGGAACGAAAGCUAGGGGAGCAAAGCGGAUUAGAUACCCUAGUAGUCC